UGGGGAAUUUUGCGCAAUGGACGAAAGUCUGACGCAGCAACGCCGCGUGGGUGAUGAAGGCCUUUGGGUCGUAAAACCCUGUCGAGAGGGAAGAACCUGGAGAUGGCUAAUAUCCAUCUUCAUUGACUGUACCUCUGGAGGAAGCCCCGGCUAACUCCGUGCCAGCAGCCGCGGUAAUACGGAGGGGGCGAGCGUUGUUCGGAAUCAUUGGGCGUAAAGGGCGCGUAGGCGGCCUUGCAAGUCAGAUGUGAAAGCCCUUGGCUUAACCAAGGAACUGCAUCUGAAACUGCUUGGCUUGAAUCCGGGAUGGGAGAGUGGAAUUCCCAGUGUAGCGGUGAAAUGCGUAGAUACUGGGAGGAACACCGGUGGCGAAGGCGGCUCUCUGGACCGGUAUUGACGCUGAGGCGCGAAAGCUAGGGGAGCAAACGGGAUUAGAUACCCCCGUAGUCC
rnacentral:rRNA from 1 species